UGCCGGUAUCAUAUAUAUGUUUUUAUCCAAUUAUAUUGCACAGGAUCUAACGGAUCACAAUAAUGACAUCUAUAAUACUGUGUACAAUAUUCAGUGGAAUGUAACUCCAUUACAUAUACAAAAAAUAAUAUUAUUUCUGUUGCAAAGAGGCGCUGUAGAUUUUACUGUAAGUGUCGGUGGAAUAUUUGUCGGAUCGUUGGAGUGUUUCGCCACGUUGGUAAAAGCUUCGGUCUCCUAUUUUACUUUUUU